UCCGGCUUAUCACCGGCGGUUUCCUUAGAGUGCUCAACUAAAUGGUCGCAACUAAGGACGAGGGUUGCGCUCGUUGCGGGACUUAACCCAACAUCUCACGACACGAGCUGACGACAGCCAUGCAGCACCUGUGCAUGCUCCCCUUGCGGGGUCGUCCCGCUUUCACGGUUCUACCACAUGCAUGUCAAGACCAGGUAAGGUUCUUCGCGUUGCAUCGAAUUAAGCCACAUACUCCACCGCUUGUGCAGGCCCCCGUCAAUUCCUUUGAGUUUUAAUCUUGCGACCGUACUCCCCAGGCGGGAGGCUUAAUGCGUUAGCUGCGCCACUGACGAGCAUGCUCGCCAACGGCUGGCAUUCAUCGUUUACGGCGUGGACUAC
rnacentral:misc_RNA from 1 species